rnacentral:rRNA from 1 species
AUGCACGCUGGCGGCGUGCCUAAUCCAUGCAAGUCGAGCGAACAGAUGAGGAUCUUGCUCCUCUGACGUUAGCGGCGGACGGGUUAGUAACACGUGGAUAACCUACCUAUAAGACUGGGAUAACUUCGGGAAACCGGAGCUAAUACCGGAUAAUCUAUUGCACCGCAUGGUUCCAUAGUGAAAGACGGUUUUGCUGUAACUUAUAGAUGGAUCCGCGCCGCAUUAGCUAGUUGGUAAGGUAACGGCUUACCAAGGCGACGAUGCGUAGCCGACCUGAGAGGGUGAUCGGCCACACUGGAACUGAGACACGGUCCAGACUCCUACGGGAGGCAACAGUAGGGAAUCUUCCGCAAUGGGCGAAAGCCUGACGGAGCAACGCCGCGUGAGUGAUGAAGGUCUUCGGAUCGUAAAACUCUGUUAUUAGGGAAGAACAAAUGUGUAAGUAACUAUGCACGUCUUGACGGUACCUAAUCAGAAAGCCACGGCUAACUACGUG